GCUACAAUUGGAGGGAGCAACGCUUCGGGAGCAGGAGCGUUUCUUUUAUCAUUCAGAGGAAGAAUGCACAACAUCAGCAUGGCUGUGCCGACCACCUACACCCAGACAUACAGGAGACAGACGACCGCCUGAGCUCUUAUCUAAUUUGUCUUGGCCUUUUGCUGACCUGAUCGAGGAAGCUGGUCUGCACUGACACCACAUCAGUUGGAUGAGGUAGACAAGCCCAGAAGCGAGGUAAGCCCCCAAUAUUUGAGCCAAAGAAUAGGGUAGCAGCUUUAUCCAUGCUAGAUCUCCCAACACACAGAAACUCAGAGACACAGCUGGGUUUAUAUGAG